rnacentral:lncRNA from 1 species
UCAGAAGUAAAUUAUCACUAAACAUGCUGAGACCUAAGUGAAUUGAAAUGUUUAACAGCACCUUUGAUUUGCUUAGCAUGAUCAUUGAAACUGUUGCUUCCAAAUCUAGUGGUUCUAAGUGCACAAACUCAGCACUUGAACCAACUGGACUGAAAUUGAAGCACAUACACAAUUCGAAUUGAGAGUCCAAUUAUUACAGAUAAGACAAUCCCAAACGUGCAUAUUAUACAAAAUGGAACAGUCUAAUACUAUACUAUACAUGAUAAUCAUUUUAAUGGUAUUUCUAUAUUCAAACUAAAUAGGAAGAUGGGGGAUAUGAUACUGAAGUAUAAAUAGCAAACGAAAGUCUUCACAUUGAGAAUAUAUUUGCAUUUUUGAACUUCAUAUACAUGGGUGUUGAGUUGGUACCUGUAAUACAAAAGAAAACCAAUCCUAUGAGUAACAGAGUAGAUCAGCUAAGCAACCAACAACCAAUAGAACAGUAUUUCCAGACUUCAACAGAAUGUCUACAGAGUUAAAUCUUCAGGGAAUGAUUCAAAAUAAAAUGGUUAAUCUGAUAUAAAAUCAGUACUUCAGCUUUAGAAUUGUAGAGAAAAGUUCCAGAUCAAUUUUUCCAGCUCUAUUGUUCAGGAGAAAGAUUUCUGGAUCCCAGCAGAAUAUUUAGAAGACCAAAAGUUUCAGAAAUUCUAGAGAUGGUUUUUUCCGGAUCCUUUCUAAUGCCCAAAAUGAUUCAAUUUAUAGCAAAACUCUUAGGGCAUCCGAUUUUACCUGUUUUCUUUUUAGUCCUUAAUUCAACUUGUAUUUUUUUGCCUAAGUAGUCCUUCAAUUCUUAACUUGUGCCUCAAGUUUGAGGCUGGAUUUAUAUAUUAGUCCAUACUACAAGAUUCUACAGGAUUCCUUAUCAGAUUUUACAGAUUCAAAAACCCUUUUAUACCCUUACUAACUUUCUUGAAUUACCCUACCCCUGAACUUGACCUUGGUAAGUCCUUUUAACCUUAAUUAAUUUACCUUUAACUUUGGUCAGCCAAAUUUGGGUCUCAUUUUAUCCUCAGAUUAAUAAAGUCAUGAAGGUUUUAAUCAGCCAACAUUAGCAGACUCAAUUAGCCAAAGAAUUAACAACCUUCCAUGCAGGAUUAAUAGAACAAGAGAUCAAAUAAUCAAAAAGAAUUGCACAUAUCUAUCAGACAUGGCUUUCAGAAUAUAGUUCCAAUCAAAAUGUUUCACACAGCAGUUCAGUUUAGGAAUCAAUUUAUGAAGCGAAUAAAAUCUAACAAUGAACAAUUAAGAAUCCAAAAGCCCCAAAUCAACUUAAACCAACAUCAGAUCAUAGAGUCAAAGGCUAAAUGUCAAUUGAGCCCUAUAAAUAACAACACUGAGGAAUUAAAGUAAAUUUUCCAGGUCAAGAAAACUGCAUGUACAAAUAUCCAAAAAUGAAGGGAUAUCCAUACUAAUACCACAUGAAACACAUGGAUAUUCAAAUUAUUCAACAUGCAAUUGUUGAAGCUAAUCAGUUAUCUCAGGAACGAGCAUUGAAACCUAAUUUUCAGAAGAAACUUGUGUAUAACCAGAUAAAUAACAAAAGAAAAUUCUAAUUAUUGCUCCUAAUCCGUUAUUACAAACAAUUAAACACUCAGAGCUAAAAAACGAAAAUAUGCUGGAGGGAUCUACCUUUUAUUCUUGUCUUAAACGCCCAGAGCUAAAAAACGAAAAUAUGCUGGAGGGAUCUACCUUUUAUUCUUGUCUGUAUUUAAAGCAAUUCAAUUGGACUCAGAUUUUCCCACAAGAGUUCUGGACAUUCCCGGAAAGUAUCCAAUCAAUCUUACAAUCGGGGGAGGGUUUUUCGAAGUUGUGAGACCACAAUAGGUCUCAGAUUUGAAAUUUUGAGUGACUGAGGGUUGUUUGAGAUUCAAGGAUGGCAUGGCUAGUGUCAGGGUGAGUCAGGGGUUGCCUGGAAGGGUUUUGAGUCAUUUUUGUUAAAUUGGGCCACUCAGG